GACGAACGCUGGCGGCGUGCUUAACACAUGCAAGUCGAACGGAAAGGCCCUGCUUUUGUGGGGUGCUCGAGUGGCGAACGGGUGAGUAACACGUGAGUAACCUGCCCUUGACUUUGGGAUAACUUCAGGAAACUGGGGCUAAUACCGGAUAGGAGCUCCUGCUGCAUGGUGGGGGUUGGAAAGUUUCGGCGGUUGGGGAUGGACUCGCGGCUUAUCAGCUUGUUGGUGGGGUAGUGGCUUACCAAGGCUUUGACGGGUAGCCGGCCUGAGAGGGUGACCGGACACAUUGGGACUGAGAUACGGCACAGACUCCUACGGGAGGCAGCAGUGGGGAAUAUUGUACAAUGGGCGGAAGCCUGAUGCAGCAAAGCCGCGUGCGGGAUGACGGCCUUCGGGUUGUAAACCGAUUUCGCCUGUGACGAAGCGUGAGUGACGGUAAUGGGUAAAGAAGCACCGGCUAACUACGUG
rnacentral:rRNA from 1 species